rnacentral:rRNA from 1 species
CAAGUCGAGCGGGAUUAGCAGCAAUGCUAUGAGAGCGGCGCACGGGUGCGUAACGCGUAUGCAACCUGCCUUAUACAGGGGAAUAGCCCAUGGAAACGUGGAUUAAUGUCCCAUAAGAUUACGGAUUCGCAUGGAUUUGUGAUUAAAACUGAGGUGGUAUAAGAUGGGCAUGCGUCUGAUUAGGUAGUUGGUAGGGUAAUGGCCUACCAAGCCGACGAUCAGUAGGGGUUCUGAGAGGAUUACCCCCCACACUGGUACUGAGACACGGACCAGACUCCUACGGGAGGCAGCAGUGAGGAAUAUUGGUCAAUGGCCGGAAGGCUGAACCAGCCAUCCCGCGUGCAGGAUGACGGCCCUAUGGGUUGUAAACUGCUUUUGUACCUGAAGAAACCUGUUUACGAGUAGACAGUUGCCGGUAAGGUAUGAAUAAGCAUCGGCUAACUCCGUGCCAGCAGCCGCGGUAAUACGGAGGAUGCAAGCGUUAUCCGGAUUCAUUGGGUUUAAAGGGUGCGCAGGUGGGAAAAUAAGUCAGUGGUGAAAUACUGCCGCUUAACGGUAGAAUUGCCAUUGAUACUGUUUUUCUUGAGUAUGGUUGAGGUAGGUGGAAUGUGUUGUGUAGCGGUGAAAUGCAUAGAU